AUCGGAAAUGAAAAUGCACGUUCUGAGGCUCACUUGAAAACUGGAUUUGUCCUGCAGGGCCUUUUUUAACAUACAAGCUGGGGGGCCAUUUGCCCCACCCCCAGUCCCCCCUUGUGCCCCCCCCACACGAAAUCACAUUUUGCACCCCUCCCAGAAAAAGUCCCUUUUCCUAAAUUUAUACAAACAAACCAGCGAAGAAUAACAAAUUGAUAAACGGAACGUAAGUUUUAGGCUUUAUCCUUUGUCCUUGUUUAACGAAUCGAUUUAAAGGACUGUGUCACCGCGUGCGCAUCCUACGUGUUUCUAACACUAAGUAAUGAUAAAUUAUUGUUAAUACUUUUUAAAUUCUUUGUGCGUUUUUUCCUUCUUUUAUUUCAAAUAGAAGUAUAGUUAGGAUAAAUUUUAGAGCAAAUUUAGAUGCUCAGACGGCUGGAAAUGGCAUUUUUGGGCUUCAAAUUUCAAAACUUUUCUGGGGAAGUAUGCCCCCAGACCCCCCUAUUCAUUCACGGUAUGUCGGCCACACACGGCCAUUGCUAUCCCCCUUUAAUAAUAAGUAAUGGAUACAUUAUUGUUAAUAUUUCUUUUAUUUUUUCUGCAUUUUUUCCUUCUUUUAUUUCAAAUACAAGUAUAAUAGCAUAAAUUUUAGAGCAAAUUUAGAUGCUCAUAAAGCAGGAAAUGGCAUUUGAAAGGUUCAAAUUUAAAACAUUUUCUGGGGGAGUAUGUCGGCCACACACGUGGCCGUCGGCCUUUGCUAUCCCCCUCUAAUAUAUUAUCUCACAGAAAGGUCCCUUUUCAAAAAAUCCCCCCCCCCCCACGGGAAAAUCCUUAAAAAAGGCCCUGUUGUCCUGUAUUUCGGUCUCGGAACUGUCGUAUGUCGUCACGGUAUACGUUAA